UUUGAUCGAACCCAGCCACAAUGGCCGCUCCGCCGGACGAUCCUGCCCGUAUGUCGCCAACAACGCCUGUGCCUC
rnacentral:antisense_RNA from 1 species